AUUCCAAAAAUAUAACUGAGAACCCUUCCAAAAUUAAAAAAAAAAAGAGAGCACCUCUACACAAAAUCAUAAUGCACCCACAAUUACACACACACACCAAAUUCAAAAACUUAGCAUAAGAAUAAGGCAUACUUGGACCGUUAUCGAAAUCCCAGCCUCAGUAACAGUAAUGAACUAACACUGAAUCCACGUUUUGAAUUUGAACUAACACUGAAUGGACAUUUUCCAAAAAAAUAUGAAUCCAAGUAAAAUCAAGCUGUUACUUUUACAUAUGCAUGGAUCAACUCAUGCGGGAUCAAAUAUCUGUACUUUUCGACACGGAAAUUACACUUUGUGAAGGUUCACCAACCAAGCACGAAUAAAACCUAUAUAUACAAAACUCUAGUGGCAUUUCACCGAACACAAAGUCUGCGUCUUUACUGAAAACAGAGAAGCUAAACCUGCAAUCACUGAUUAUCUACUAACAUACAAGUACGAAUUACUUACAUUUGGGGAUCGGAUUCCAAGAUACGUUCGAAUUGAUUCAGAAGAUCGACCGUGUUUGCUUCGGAACGACGCAGCUCCUCUCCUUCCAUAUUUUCUGUUUGUUUCCCGAGAAAAUCCAAGGGAAAAAGAAAACCCUAGGGAAAAUGACAGCUUUAUACGAUGUUGGAACAAAAUGGUAAAUUAAUUUAAAAAAGAACUACGUGGAAGUUUUUUAUUCUUUGUUGCAAUAAGUUGCAGGAAAAAGUAAUGAUGCUGGCCGUAGAUGAUCCAGUUUUGGGCCAAUGUCACACUGACACGUAUCCACCUUCUUCGACUCUUCUUCUCUUGUGUAAAAUUUUGGAGCUGCUAUGGCUAUUCUCUCUCUACAAAUCUCUCUCUCUCUCUCUUCUGAGCAUCAAUCGCCGAAGGAUUUUCUCUCAUUUUCCCUCACUUUCUCUCCCGUUUUCUCUCUCGCCAAACACUCCAGUUCCUCAAGGAUCUGAGGUUUCUUCCACUUCAAAUCUCACCUUUUUUUUUUCUCUUCGAAUCGGGCAAAAAGGCAUUGAUUUGAAACGAAUAUUAUAAUAGAAAGGAAAGAGCUUUGGGGGGAUUCGAAUUUCCGAAUCUAGGGUUCCGUGAUCUGUAUAUGCGUCCGAUGACUAUGGGAAUCGUGGUGGAAGCGGCGUCGUUUGACGCCGAGCUGUUGCAGCUCAAUGAGGUGUCCCCUUUGGCCCUCAAAUCGAAUCCGAGCUCAAUGAGGCAUUGAUUUGUAAUUAGUUGUUGGAAAUGCUAAAGUUUAUAUAUAUAUAUUUUUUAAUUAGGAUACCUAUGAUUUACAUACUACAUAUUGUUUCAUCUUUUCGGAUGCAUGACAGUUUUUUUCAUUUUCCCGACUUUAUGGUUGCAGGUGACACAACUGCUAACUGAAGCAAAGGCAGGUAGGCCCCUGAAUGUUCAGGGAAAUUCUUCUAGUCCACAUGCCACUGCAGGCAGUACUUUGCCUUCUAUGUUUCCAGCAGGCAGUGCACCACCACUGUCACCAAGAAGUUCAUCUGGAUCCCCUCGCAUUAUGAAACAGAGGAUCGGUCCUUCUCAUUUAGGUUCUCCCCUGAAAGUAGUUAGCGAAUCAGUUAAAGAAGUGAUACCUAUUAAACUAAACAUGGUAAAUACCAAUAUUAAACUAAACAUGGUAAAUACAAAAAAUAUAUAUGAUAAUAUUUGGGAAUUUCUUAUAUAUUCAUUAAUCUUCAAAGUGGAGUAUAUAUAGGAGUUACAAUUGGUAUUACAUAUGUACUUCACCAAUGUGGGAACAAUAAACUGCUAUUUACACUUUAACUAAUGUAUAACUCGCAACACUCCCCCUCAAGUUGGUGCAAAGAUGUCACGCAUGCCCAACUUGUCAAGCGAGUCGGAAACGCACUAUUAGACACAGCCUUAGUAAGAGCAUCAGCAAGUUGAUCUUCAGAUCUCACAAACGGAAACAUAAUAAUUCCAGCAUCCAAUUUUUCCUUAAUGAAAUGUCGAUCAAUCUCCACAUGUUUUGUUCGAUCAUGUUGCACUGGAUUAUGAGCAAUCUCAAUAGCAGCCUUGUUAUCAUAAUGAAGUUUCAUAGCACCUUUGUGUUUAAACUCAAGAUCUCUCAACAAUUUUUCCAACCACAACAACUCACAUACACCAUGAGACAUACCACGAAACUCAGCUUCUGCACUUGACUUAGCCACCACUUUUUGUUUCUUGCUUAUCCAAGUAACUAAAUUACCACCCACAAACAUAAAGUAUCCAGAUGUAGAUCGCCGAUCAGUGAUAGAAUCUGCCCAAUUUGCAUCUAUAUACCCUUCGACAUUCAAAUGAUCAUUCUUGGAGAAAACCAGGCAUCUGCCAGGAGCCAUCUUCAAGUACCUCAAAAUACGGGUUACUGCAUCCAUAUGAGCUUCACUAGGUGAGUGCAUAAACUGACUUACCACACUAACUGCAUAAGCAAUGUCAGGGCGAGUGUGAGACAAAUAAAUUAAUCUCACCACAAGCCUUUGAUACCGUUCCUUAUGAGUAGGAACUUGAUCUGGAAAUAAGCCCAGACGAUGAUUCUGCUCAAUCGGAGUAUCAACAGGUUUGCAAUCUAACAUACAUGUUUCAGCUAACAAAUCAAGAACAUACUUCCUUCCAAGAAAAUACUUCAAUUCACCCAAUUCUUUCAUCUCAAACUCAGUAGCUAGGUACUUUUGAAGGUGCUGUAUCUCUUUCUGAUCAUCACCAGUCACUAUCAUGUCAUCAACAUAAAUAAUCAAUGCAGUUAGCUUACCAUUUUGUCGCUUUAGAAACAAAGUAUGAUCUGAAUGACUUUGGAUAUACCCAAACUUCUUCAUUAAACUUGUAAACCUCCCAAACCAUGCUCUAGGAGAUUGUUUCAAACCAUACAAGGCUUUUCGUAACCUGCAUACAACACCUUUUUCAGGAGACGUUCCAAUACCAGGUGGGAGAUCCAUAUACACUUACUCCUUAAGAUCACCUUGAAGGAAAGCAUUCUUAACAUCAAACUGCAACAGAGGCCAAUCCUGGUUUGCUACUAAGGACAGAAGAACACGCACAAUAUUAAGUUUGGCAACAGGAGCAAAGGUCUCCUGAUAGUCCACCCCAUAGGUUUGAGUAUAAUCCUUAGCAACUAAUCUGGCUUUAUACCGAUCAAUAGAAACAUCUACUUUGUGCUUAAUAGUAAACACCCAUCUACAUCCAAUGACUUUCUUCCCAUUUGGUAAUGGAACCAAAUCCUAAGUAGAAUUCUUUUUCAAAGCUUCCAUCUCAACUUUCAUGGCAUUAACCCACUUAGGGUCAGACAAAGCAUCUUGCAAUUUUGUUGGAAUUGAUACACUAGAUAGCUGACAUAUGUAAGAUGCAUAUGGUUGGGACAAACGAUGAGUAGACACAUAAUUGUUGAUAGGAUAUUUGGCUUUAACAUGCAUAUCAGGCUCAUAUUGUACUUUAGGUUUUCCACGAUUAGCUCGUGGAGGCAACUGAUAAGUAGAAGAAUCGUCAGAAUUUACCUCAUGUAUGCCACCAUCUUAUACCAAACUGUUAGAAGAAUCAUCACUGGACGAACCAUCAUCAGACAACUCGUUAGACAUAUCAGCAGCAGGCAACCGAUCAUCAGAAGGUAAUUCAUCAGACAUACUAACAGGCAAUUUGCUGGGCACAUCUGAUUUGUCGUUAGUAGAAAUAGUUCCGGGAAUGACAGGUGACCGAUCACUAUCUAUAACCGACUGAUUAGUAUCACGCAACAUAAUAGGUUAUGUUCCCAACUCUGUCUGUAACACAUCAUCCAUAUCAUCUCUUCGAAUCUGCACUUCACUCCUCCUCUCCCCCUGAAGUGGAAAGUCGGAAGAGGGCUUUACAAAAUACGAAACUUCCUCUUGGAAGGUGACAUCCAUGGUAAUAUAAGUUUUUUGAGUCGGAGGAUGAUAACACUUAUAGCCUUUUUGAUUGUUAGCAUACCCAAUAAAGACACACCGGAGAGCACAUGCAUCAAGUUUACUCCGCUGAUGAGAGUAGACAUGCACAUACACAAUACACCAAAACACUUUCGGAGGAAGCUUUGAGACAGAAACAAGAGAAACAUGUUUUUGUAGCACAUCAAACGGUGUCUGAAAAUCAAGAACCCUACUUGGAACACGAUUGAUCAAAUACACAGCAGCCAAAACAACAUGACCCCACAAAUGAUUAGGAACACAUUUAUCCAACAUCAAGGAGCGAGCAACCUCCAUUAUUUGACGAUUCUUCCGUUCGGACACACCAUUUUGUUGGGGUGUAAACGGAGUAGUUGUCUGGUGAAUCAUACCAUGAUCACGGAAAAAACAUGCCAAAAUGUGAUUCACAUAUUCUCCUCCGUUAUCAGACCUAAAGACCUUAACUUUGGUCUGAAACUGAGUAGACACCAUUGUACAAAAUUCUUGAAGAAGUAACGGAACAUCACUCUUAUUUUUCAUCAAGAACACCCAAGUUACCCGAGUACAAUCAUCAAUAAAAGUAACAAACCAACAGAAUCCAUUAGAAGUAACUUUCGCAGGACCCCACACAUCAGAAUAUAUCAAAUCAAAUGACAAAGUAGCUGUAGAAUCACUUACAUGAAAUGAAGCACAAUGACUCUUAGCCAUGACACAUGUUUCACACUUGAACUCUGAAUCACUACAAGUGCGAAACAAAGAAGGAAAUAGAUGCUUCAUAUAACUGAAUGAUGGAUGUCCUAAUCGUCGAUGCCAUAACCAAAUUUGAUGUCUGUCAUCCACUUUAGCUCUUAAACUUGAUGAUUAUUUGAACCGGAAACAACAGUAUCCUCCAUAGUCAAGAUGUACAAACCCCCUAUCCUUUUACCAUAACUAAUUAUCUUCUAAGUUUGAAUAUCUUGAAAAUAACAAUACGUAGGGUAGAAGUGAGCAGAACAAUAUAAAGUAUCAAGAAGUUUUCCUACCGACAAAAGAUUGUACUUAACAUCAGGAACAAGUAAAGCACGAACCAGUGAUAAGGUUGGAGUCAGAGAGAUAGUGUCUUCACCCUUCACAGGGGAAAGUGCUCCAUUUGCACUAGUAAUAUACGGAUCACGAACAUAGUCACAUAACUCAUCAAACACUCUAGGGUCACUAGUCACAUGAUCAGUGGCCUCAGUAUCAAUUAUCCAUUUAUUUGUUCCACCAAGAUGCAUAACAACACUAUGAUUAUAUUGAGCCAUUGAACAAAAUCACGAACAAUAAAAGCACAAAAGAUACGCAACGGAAUGAAAACAAUUUAUCAGAAUACUGUAGCAAUCACUGUUCACGGCACUGUAGCAAAGACUAUUCACGGCAAUGUAGCAAUCACUGUUCACGGCACUGUAGAAGACCACAGUUCACGCACUAUAGCAAAGCACUGUACUGUAGCCCGACACUUUUUUUUUUUUUUUCCCACACGGAGGAAAUCACGAAAAAUGUGGGCACAAAAUUAAAGCACACAGGUCACCAAGAGCGAACUGCUCUGAUGCCAUAUUAAACUAAACAUGGUAAAUACCAAAAAUAUAUAUGAUAAUAUUUGGGAAUUUCUUAUAUAUCCAUUAAUCUCCAAAGUGGAGUAUAUAUAGGAGUUACAAUUGGUAUUACAUACGUACUUCACCAAUGUGGGACAAUAAACUAUUAUUUACACUUUAACUAAUGUAUAACUCGCAACAAUACCUCAGGUUUGACAAAUCCUAAUCCUUUUCGGCAAUAAGAGUGGCACUAUUUUUUAUUUCUUUUGUUUUGCGUUGUAUUUGUCAUUUGAACUAUCUAGCUGUAAUGGUUUUCUUUAAUUAGAGGGAAAGGUAGGUUAUUAUUUCUAACUUGGAUUUUGUACCACUUGCAGUUUUACUUUCUAAAUGGUCGCCCGCCUCCAAAUGAACUAAAAGAUCAAUGCUUAUUAGAAUCAAUCAGUUUUUCUCUGGUAACUCAGACGGACUGCAGAUUCAUGGUGAGAUAUACUUAAGAUAUGAGUUUGUGUUGUACAACUAGAAUUAGCUUUUAACUGUCUCCUUGGUCGUACCCAGUGCACAAGGCUCCCGCUUUACGCAGGGUCUGGGAGAGGUGAAUGUCGGCUAGCCUUACCCCCAUUUAUGGAGAGGCUGCUCCCAAGUCUCGAACCCGAGACCUACCGCUCAUGGGCGAAGGCACUUGCCAUCGCACCAAGUGCGACCUCUAACUGUCUCCUUGGUGUAUCAGAAUUUAAAUCAGUUGCUAAGGAUAUAUGCAAGCGGCCCUCAUUCUUCUCCAUAUCUCUUUUCAGAAAAAUUGAUGCUAAGAGCAGUUCCAGCGUUGGCUGGUGCUCGGGGGAAAGGCUAGUGAACAGGGCCAGAUAGCCCGACUGAAGUGCUCCAGCGUGUGGGAACUCGAGGGACAGGGCAAGACUGAGCAACAAGCCCGUGAGGAAUUGCUAGCCCGCGAGCCCGAGUGGAUGUGACGCCAGGGCUGACGUCAUCCUGGCGUCAGCCCAAUUAUAUAUAUAUUUUUGUCAGGCGCGUGCCCCUCACCUGCACGUGGGGGCGCGUCAGCCAACACCUUUUCAGGAGCCGGGCCCACGUCACAAUUUGCCAAUGUUACUGUUGGAAAGACACGUGGCUUCCCACGGUCCGUUUGAUCUCAAUGGUCUAUUGGUAAUAUUCACUUUUUGUCAUUGCUUGUGAAAGGGUGUAGUUUCAAAGUUGUUAUCCCCACCCCCUUUCAAUAUCUUUCCUAGCUGUGGUUUAUCUUAUGUAACCACAACUAUUUUCCUUUACUUUUAAAAUGUCUCGAUUCUUGUUCACCAACCCUAUUACCCCACUUUAAGGUGCAUGAAUCUUUCUCUCUGAAGUGGAUAAACAAUGCCCUUUAUAAGGGUUGAUUGCGGAGAAGGGGUCAAGUAGCUUUCCUGGAGGCGCUUUUUUUUUCUGAGCUGACUUGUAGUGAACUCUUGGUUUAACUAAUAUUGUUACCUCACCUUACUAUAAAUUCUGGGUGGCCCCUGCUCUAGUCAUCCGGACAAGAAAACGGUACAGCUUGAGGAGAAGCUUGAGAUAGAUAUCAUCGGACUUGGGGCGCUUCGUCUUCUUGCUUUUACCUCCUGCCACGAGAACAAUCUUCAUUGUUGUUGCUGGUGUUGAAGUUCGGUUGCUCGGGACGCCUUUCGUUGGGCCUUUAUUUGGCCAAUUCAUUGAUCAAAUAUGGGAUCCUGUACUGCCAUAUGGUUGAGCCAACGAUGAAAACAGUAGGAGAAAAAGAGUGAACCCUCCCCCCCCCCAAAAAAAAAAAGUCUUGUACCCAUGAGAAAGGCUUGUAAUGGUACCAUCAUUGUUGGCAACAAUUUUUGCUGGUGGUGGUUACGACAAGGAAGUUGGGAACAAUGAUGUGGCUGAGGGCUUUGCAGAUCUUAUUGCUUAUGGUCCUUGGAUCUUGGCUAACCCAAACUUUUUUACUUUAUGUUUAUUCAGCUUUAAUUCUGAGGGUAUUUAAGUCUAUUUAAGUGGAUUUUCUGUUAUUUUUGAAAGAUUUUAUAAAAAAUGACAUUUAUGAAAUUGAGUGUUAAAUUUUGGCUAUUAUUGAUAAAAACUCAAUAAAAAUUAUCCCGUAAGUAUACAAGAUUAAGUUUAAGACGUCUUAAUAAUCAGAAGAUGCCUUUAUACAUUAUCCUUUCAUCAAUCAUGUUACAUGACAAAAAAAUGAGGUGUUGACUUAUAAGAACUAGCUAAAGGUAGCAUAUUCCUUUCUUUCUUUGUGGUUUCAACCUAUCCUUGCCCUCCUUACUAAAUCAUGUAACACAAAUGCUAUUCACACAUCCCAUUUUAUUUCUCACACAAAUCUUGAUAAUUUAUGUCUGUUGAUCUUCUUCAAUUCAUUUAAUCUGAUGGUCGAAAAUUAAAAGAGUAUGUAGGAAGUAAAAUGGAAUGUGUGGAUAUCACACCCCUAAAUUAAUUGCGACAAAAUAGAUUUUCAAAUACUUUUAUACAUUUGAGUUUGAGCUCUAUUUUUAUCAAUUACUUUAAUAAGUUGGCGACUACAUGAUGGGAGGAGGCAUGCGUUGAUGCUUAUAGUUGGCGACUACAUGAGAAGAAGAGGGAUUCUCUGAACAUAUUAAAAACCUUAAAUGCAUUAAUAAGUUAAAUUAAACCACCACAGAAACAAGAAAGUUCAAAAAGAGAGAGCAUAUUAUAAACAGAUCAAGGCAUGCAAAAAAAUACACUCUAUCUGCAAACUAGCUGAUUAAACCAGAAAGUUUCCUAGCUUACAUAGUCGUCGUCGUCUUGGGCCUCCUCAUCAUCACCCUCUUCAUUAUCAUCCGCAACUUCUUGGUCCUGAUCAUCGUCUUAUUCCGCCUCGUCCUCAUCAACACCCUCAUCAUUAGCAUCAGCACAUUGUUGGUCCUCAUCAUCGUCUUGUUCCUCUUCCUCCUCAAAAUCCUCCUCAUCAUCCCCAUCAAAAUCCUCAUCGUGUUGUCAUCAUCCUCAUCAAAAUCAUCAUCUUCAUAAUCCUCGUCAAAAUCAUCGACUUCGGUAGAAAUUUCUUGUAAGGCCCGUUCGUAAGGGAUAUAAUGGUAAUCAAAAAACGAACCUUUGAAAGUCAUAAGUUUGUCGCAUACUAAACGUACCCCUAUUUUCUUCACCGGACAAUGUGCAAUAACAUGGACCAAAUCGCUUUCUUCCAAAUUGAACUCGAUUUCCGACAACGAUAAAUUUGCCAGCCAAAUGAUCUCUUCAAAGAAAAAAAAUCUCCUAGUUCAACACAAAAACUAGUACCCUUGGUGUGAUUAAUAACAUAAAUAUAACUCGGCCUGAUGUAAUCACGAGGAACAAAAGCCAGGCACACAGCCAAUGCUUUUGCAUUAGAACCAAUUUCCUUAGGCACUUCAAAAGAGACUUGGGUACCCUCGUUUACAUGAUUGAACCAAGUGGGAAUUUGUCUUCCUACAAAACUCAUGGUUCCACCUCCUGUCCAUCCCUAUACCAUGUGGAACAAGAUUUGUGUGAGUACUACAUACAUAACACACAUAUUUGUGAGGGGGGAAGAGAGGGGGGUGGUGUGGAAGAGAGAGAGUACCUGUAUCGUGCUAUCCUUAAGAAGGAAAUCCAUGACAUUGUUGUGUGUUGUCAUAUAAAGAUUGAGUCCCGAGUUUAACGCGCUAUCCAAGCCUGGAAACUCAAUGAGUUUCGGGGAAAAAAGAAUCACUGCUGUCGACAUGCCUGAAAAAUCUGGCAUUCUUUCUAAUACAGAGCAGUCGUCCAUGUGCAGGAAACCCAAACUUUUUGGUAAAUCUGUAAUCUCAACAAGGUUUCUGCAACCAUUCAAGGAUAAUACAAGAAGCUUGGAGAGGCCACUGAGGCUUGGAAGGCUCCCAAAAUUAUUGUCAUCUAGACUUAACUCCACUAAACAAGGUAGACUACUCCCAAUAUCAUUAGGCACUUCCUCUAUAUUGCUGUCCUCCAAAAUUAAGCUUGUCAAAGAGCGUAAACCUUGUAAGGAAGGUAGCUGCAAAGAACACUUCAAUUUACUCAAAGAUAUGCGCUCGAGCUUCUCUAGUCGUACGAUGGAAGGUGGUACUUUUUUUAUGGCCGUCCCAUCUGCAUAAAGAGUGACCAAUGAUGCCAUUUCUCCCAAGUGCUCAGACAAGCUUUGGAAUCUUGAACAACCAUCGAGAACAAGAGUUUUGACAGAUUUCAACUUGUAGAAACUCCUCGGAAGAGCCUUAAGCGUUUCACAGUCCUUCAAAUUCACCAACACAAGACUCUUGAGAUCUCCGAUGGACUUGUGAACUUUAGCCAACCUCUUACAGUCUUUGAGUAUCAAUUUCUCAAGAUUUGGGAAUUUCGAAAAGUUUGGCGAUUGUGUUAGAUCGUGGGAGUGGCUGAGAUUCAGAAUCUUCAACUUAUCAAGCAACUGUUAAGAAAAAUCAAGUUGAAAUAAAAAAUUUAAAUCCAAAAAGAAGAUACAAAAAACAUAAAAAUAAUUCCAAAUUUGGUUCAGGUUACGCAUUGUACUUACCCCAGAAUACCCACAAAGAACUUGUCUGAGGCUGCUGUACUGCAUGUCGAUAACAACUGUGUUUGGUUGACAAAGUUCUAUUGGUAUGAACUCCAAUGGGAAUCCAUGCCAGCACAACCAUCUUAAUUUUUUGGAAAGAUAUUGGUAUUGCCCAGUGAGCCGAACGUAGUUUAGUUGGAGCAAUCUCAGUCUCUUCAUAUUUCUAAACGCCUCAGUACUGAAACUAGUCUCUUCAGGACUUGGCAAAUUCAAAGCCAGACCUUCAAUUUUUUCAGUUCCCUGCUAUCCGAAAAAACAGACUCCAAAUAAGAGAAGGCUUUGCAUGAAAAAAAGUAUAUUACUAACUUACAUAUGCUUACACAUUUAACAUAAAGUUUGAUUGGGAAAGUACUUACAAAUUUGUCUAUCAAUACAUCAUUUACAUCUUCAGGAUGCCACAAUCUACUCCGUUCUAUAGGGAAAUCAGGAUUUUCUGCAUGCACGAUAUCUCUGCCCAUAUCCCGAAGCAAAUCAUGCAUCAUAAUCUUGUUUUCUCUAUUAAUAGUUACAAGGCACCGGUCAAGGAGGACCUUGAUUCCUGUUGUUGCAUAAAAGCCACAACCAUCCAAGAUUUGUAUGACAUCGUUCUUGUUCAUUCCGAUAAAAAAACAAGCUAUAUCGAGGAAUAUCCGCCUUUUGUAAUUAUCAUUUAGCCUGUUGUAGCUUAUUUUCAGUUGUGCCUGAAUUUCUGCACGAGGAAUUAUUUUCAAUUCAUCCAAUAUACUUCUCCAUUCAUCUACGCUUCGUUUGAAAAGAGUAGAUCCUAAAACUUCAAGAGCCAGCGGCAAUCCUCCACAGUAAUUGACAACUUCUCUUUCGAGCGCAAGAUAUUGACUAGGACAACUACUACUUCUGAAAGCAUGCCAACUUAGGAGCUCAAGAGCUUCUUCUCGGUCCAUUACUUUCGCCUGAUAUAUCUUAUCAACUGCAAAUUCUUUUAGCACACUUUCGUUUCUAGUUGUGAUGAUGAUUCUGCUCCCCGGGCCAAAAAAGUGGCAAUUUCCAACUAAUUCGCGUAAUUGCUUCACAUCGUCUACAUCAUCAACUAUGACAAGUACCUUUAAGCGUCGAAAUCUUUCCCUUACCAAGGCGGUCCCUGCAGCAACACUACUUACCUUUGUCUUGGUUUGCAAGAUAUCAAAAAGAAGUUGUUUUUGCAAUUUUUCUAGUUUCUUUUCCCUCACUUUUUCAAGGAAACUUUUACCUUCAAACCUUUCAUAAAAUUCGUUAUAAAUGGCUUUAGCAAUUGUUGUUUUACCUAUUCCACCCAUGCCUGAAAUUCCAAUCACACGAACAUCAUCUGAAUCUCCGAUGCCUAAAUAAUUACUGAUAUCUAGCACUCGAGUAUCUAUUCCGACUUGAUAGAGCGCUACGUCAAAGUAUUUGUUGUUCAACUUCGUAGUGACGUCAUUGGUAAUCAUCCUGAUAAACUUUGCUUCAUGCCUGGCAUUAGUCAAGUUGAGAAGCAAAACGAAGAUUGUUAUACAACGAAAUCGAACUAAUUAAUACACAAAAUUAUUUAUCAUGACUAGAGAUUUUAAUUAAGACAAUUUUUUUUGAGGUGGUGUGUUUAAACUUAGCAAACAUCAAUUAAAAUUAAAAUAAAGAAACACAAACAAAAAAACCAGCAUCCCUUCCCUCCGCAGCCAAUCGCCGGCAGCUUCCCAGCUGUGAUUAGUGUAGCCUUAACAGUUUAAGCUUUAUUGUAUGAUUUUAUUACAGAGGUCUAAGAAAUCGUAUGAUUCCAAAUUAAUAAGCAAAGGUACGUUAAAGCCUUAAUUCAUAAGAAAAGAAAUUAGAAAGUACCCGUCUAAAGUGUUUCUGAGAUCCCAGCCAGACAAAUUCGAAGCUUCAGUAAGAGCAGCUCUCCACCUCUCUACCUUUUUUCAUCUGUAUGUUUCAGAAACGAUUGUGCAAAACUACAAGUCUGUUUCCUAACAUGCGAAGGAUCAACGUCAUAGAAUAUUGGCAAAACUAAUUGCCCUAGCGUUCUUCUACACUCCAUGAUCUUAACCAGCUCCUCGAGACACCAGCUGGAGUCCGAGUACCGUCUUGAGAAGACGAUGAUAGAGAUCCUAGAACCCUGGAUUGCAUGCACAAGUUCGGUAGUUAUAUCUUCUCCUCUUCUUAGUUCGUCGUCAAUAAAGGUGUUGAUUCCGGCCUUUGUCAAUGCUUCGUGGAGGUGGCCCACGAAGUUUUUACGUGUGUCUUCACCUCUGAAGCUUAUGAACACUUCGUAGAGCAAGCCUUUUGAGAAGGAAGACAUGGAUGGGGAGGUGGAGGCGGAUGAUGAGGAUGAGAUUGAGGGUGAGGAGGUGGAGGAGGACGAUGAGGAGGAGGUGGAGGAGGACGAUGAGGAUGAGGGCGAGGAGGAGGAUGAGGACGAGGUUUUAUCGGGGACGGAGAUAUUCAUUUAGCGAAAGACGAGGCCUAGGGAGUAGAGGAGGAAGAUGAGGACAUCAUAGACAAGAUCGGAAUUGCGAGCCGUAAAGUGGUUGGACACUAACACCAGCACCAAAGUUAACAGCUUCCCUAAGCUCGACCAGGUAUCCAUUUCCUUCAUUUUCUUUAUGCAAAUUGAAGGUUUUUGGCUAUAUUGAUUUUCUUUCUUCUGCAGGACUUCAUUGCAAGAGUUAAUUUGAAAGUACCCUAUUGCAAAAGGGAUCUGACUUCUCUGCCUUCCCACUUCCCAUACAUUCUGAUCCCCUCUUAUUUGUGCGGUCACGGUUAAGCCACGUCAACAUUUUAUAUUACUAUUGACUUUUGUCUUAUUAUCUUUAUAAAAAAAUUAAUAUAAAAUAUUAACGUGGCUUAACCGUGACCGCACAAAAUAAGAGGGGAUAGGAGUGUAUGGGAAGUGGGAGGAGAAAAGUCAGGUUCAUUACGGAAUCUCGGAUUAUGACGACCUCUACCAGUCUUCGUAUUCAAUUUUUUAUGACGACCUCUACCAGUCUUCCUAGUCAAUUUUUUAAUUCAACUUACAAGUUUGGUAGAGAGUGCCAAAUGCAUAUUUGCAGGGUUCUCACUUUCAGUAUGGCUAAAUAUCAAGGAAAAAUAUAUAUUUAUAGACAAUCUAUACUAUAUAUUAAGAAAACCCUCCUUGUCAAAAUUUUCCCCAUUUUUCCAAUUUUGCCCUCACUUUUGAUACACAACCUUGACAAAAAGGAGGGCAAAAUAGUAAUUUUGCAUCUUUUGAGAAAAUGACAAUCAUAUCCCUAUUUUCCCUAUUUUACCCUCACUUUUGAUACACAAUAUUUACAUAAAGAGGGCAAAAUGGUAAUUAUGUAAUAUUAAGAAAAAUAUGCCCUUAUUAGGAGAUCUCAUCAUCAUUGUCUCAUACUCUUUUUAAAAAAUUUAAAAACUAAUCACACUCCUUAAUCUAAAAUAAAAAAGAAAAUGAAAUUGUUCACACACAAAGUGUGUGCUCAUCUUCUAGUUUGGUAUAAAAUAAUCGAAGUUGUUAUGGAAAAUGGCAUCAAGGAUGUUAGAGCAUCCCCAAUGGGGGCUUUAUCCUCCAUGAGGCUACCACAUUUUUAGCCUUAGCGAGAAAUUUCAUCCUCAAUGAGCCAGAAAAUGGGGCUAGAUCCACCACUAGGGCUAGUAACUUCAUUUCUUGGGUAGCAUAAAAUCAGGCUACAUCUAGCCCCAAAAAACAGUGGGUCCCACAAAAAAAGUAGCAACCUAUGUGAGCAAAAUUCUAUCAUUCUCCCUCCACUUGCGAAUACACUCAUACUCUCAUUUUAUUAUUUUUUAAUUCUUUUUUCUUACUUACUUUGCUUGCAAUUUGACUAAUUAAUGAUUGUUUUAAAUUCUAUAAGAAUUAAAAUUUCAAAUUGAUUUAACGUUCAUGAGCAUUGAUGGGUGAAAUUUUCAAAUAUUUUUUUUCAAAAUUAUAUGAUACUAAUUUACCAAUUGGUGUUAGGUAAAAUUAUUGUAUUAUACGUGAAAAUCAAAUUAUUUCAGAAAACGAAGUGAGGGUUUAUUUCUUAUAAUAAAUGAGAUUGAGAUAAGGGAAUCUAAUCUAACAAACAAUUCAUAAGUGAUAAAAUCUAACUUUGUCACAAUUUGAACUUUGUAGGUGGAAGGGUUAAAUUUAAGAUAGCACGUCCAAAAAUCAACUUAAGAAAAGCUAACACAAAAAAAAAAAAAUUCAUUGCUUAAUCAAAUUACUACAUAAAUAAAUAUAUAUAGCCCAUAUAGAGCCCGAAAGAUAUAGCCCCUCAUUGUGAGAGAUUCUUUUAUACAACCCCAAAAAUUUCUUGGAACUAUAAAAUGGGUUGUAUCCAUCACUUUUCCAGCCCCAUAUAAAAUAUUAAAACCCCUCACUGGGGAUGCUCUUAGGAUUGGUAGUUUAAUAGUGGCCUUGUCUUUCAUCAUCGUUACCAUCCGUAGUAGUUGAAGAAUGACUCUGAUAUAUGUCCAACCACUUUGGAUUUAUAUGUCCAACCACUUUGGAUUUACUUGUGCUCUUACUUUAGAAUGUUGAAAAUUCAAACUGCAUCAAAACAACAGAUCAAUUGAUUUUAAAUGUUUAUUUUUUCACAAUUGAUGUUACUUAUUUUUAAGCUAAAUUAAGAGAAUAUAAGUAUUUUAAUUUAUAAUGAACUUAAGUCAAACAAAAACUAUCUAUUCACAAGGACAAUCCACCGCCUUACAUAUCAAACCUUGUACCAAACUCCUUCUAGACCACUCUUCCAUAUGCCCCCGGACCCACAGAAGUGUUUUAGGCUGAACUAGAAAAUGUGCCCGCGCUUCGCUGCGGGGGUUGAAUGCAUCUGUUGUGAGCUUGAAUAAUUUCCACAGAAAGUGGGCAAAAUGGUGGUAGGAACAUAAUCACAUUCUCAAAUGUAGCAAUUCAGUUACCAUAUAUUUGAGUUGAGUGAAUCCAACAAAAUCACCAAUCAACAUACGCAUCGUAUCAGUAAUCAAAAAUUGAAAAUUUAUCAAUUAUUUUCAAAUAUUCAAUAAAUUAAACCACACAAAAUUAAAAAAUAUAUGACGCGACCCUACAGCGACAACAAAUUGAUUUCUCCACUGCAGAGAGGUUGAUCACCAGAAGCAGGGUCAAUAAUGGCCAGCCUCUAAUGAGCAAAGAAACAAUCUCCAGGCUGGCAUAGGCCACUCCAAUUCAGGUCAACGGGGAUUCAAUCUAUCAAAUCCAUUCAUGCAGAUUGAUUACCUGAUUGGUAUUGAAAAGGAAACAAAACCCCCCCAAUUUUUUGAAAUUUAGAGUAGGAUGGAUCGCUUACCUUUAGCAAAGCGGAGGAACGUUGGUGGUGCGGAGGGACUGGUGGUCCAGCGCAAUUCGCUAGAUUUGAGAGCGAGAAAAGGCUCUCCACUGCAUUUUCCAUGCAUUCAAUCAUCAAAUUGUAGUUCGUUUCAAUUGAUUUCUGCUGAAAUUUAAAAAAUUAAUAAACAUUUCUAAAAAUAAAAGUAAACUUCAAGCUACAGACAGUUUGACUUGAAUGGCUUCAGCUGGAGCUAAGUAGGCUUACAGUGGGUGAAUCAAAGGGAUAAAGACACUGCAAUUUUCAGCUUCAUACCAAAGGAUAGACAAAGCACGACAGCAUGUUGCUAACUAAUUGUUCAAUCGAACUGAAAGGAAAAGUUGCAGGACAAAUAGCUCACUAAAGAAUCCCAUGUUGAGGACCUUUCCAGGCACGCUUUAUUCAACAGAGCUUUCAGGUUUUCAGUUUUCAGCUUAUCUUGAAAUUCAAUGCGUCGGGAAUCAGGGAUUUGCUGAGGCAGGUAAGAGUAACACAAGCAUCCAGUCAAUUCGAUUUGCUGAGGCAGUUGCAGUUGCAGGUAUGAGUAAAGUCAUGACAAAUUGUGAAUGGAGGAGAAAUACUAUUACCAUAAUCAACCAUAAUAUGUAAGUAGCCGAAUGUUUAGCCUGUGCUUGGUAGUCAUCGAAGCUAUUAUCUGGAAUGAUGGAGCAGGAGUCGAGGAGCUGUAACUCGUUAUUCAUAAAGAUUCUGAAGUCGUCAUUCAUGCUGUUAUUCUGCUUCGCAUGGCUGGACAGACCAGUAUGAUCAGUUAUGAAAUGCUUUAUCCAAAAUAAGAAAGGAAGCGGCGAUGAAGCCAUAGAGCCUGUUUACAGUGAAUACCACAGAAAUUAAAACUCGGGGGGUUCUCAGAUGAUUAGUGAAAUAUACAAAAACACCCCACGUACCUCUCUUCCUAUGUAGUGCUUUAUCAACAUUUCAUCCCAAUCAAGCUCUUCCUGACAUGACCACAUUUGACACAAGUAUCAACUGUAAACGUUCAUGUAACGAAGAUAGUACAAUAUAAAAAGUGCUUGCCCAUAGGAACUCAUGGUCAUAAUUACUGAAAAGAGAUUAAAGAAGAUUUGUACCUUCCACAGCCGAUAUAUCUCAACACUGUAACCAGAAGCUGAAAUCUCUUGUUUAUAGCAUUCGUCCUCUAAAUCUUACGCAUCAGCCGCUGCAAAAUGAUAGAAACAUUGAUUGUGAGGGGAAUUAAAGUCCAGCACAUCGACAACUUUGUCUCUCAGUAUCACAACAAAAGGAAAGCAAGGUCUCACACUGCGAUAAUGGGAGCAACUAUGAUCAGCAACAUGCAAGGAGGCCCAGGUUCGGGAUCUUUCUAAUUCAUGUAGCAACUGCAAGCACAAAUUUAUGGUGCAUAUAACUCAUCAUAAACACGGACGAGAGAGAAAAAUGGAUAUGUAUGGUACAAAUACGAAUCUCGGAAUAUGAAACUGCAUAAAAUCAACAAUUACUCUCAAACUAUCAGUCACAUUUGUUGAGAAUGAAGGCUAAAAAUAAUUCUCUGCUUAUCCUUUUCAAAUGUAUAGGAGUGCAAUUUGGCUCAGAAUUGUUUACAUCACAUAUAAAUAUGAAAUUCCUAGAAGGAAACCUGAAUUAUUCCCCGGAUAAGAAAAAUCGAGAUUAGAUCUAACCUGUUCUCUUGUCAUGUAGGAAACCAACCAGCAACGGUGGUUCCAUGCACGGUAAUUCAUUUUUGACCUCUGUAAAGAAAGAUUUUGAAUUACACAAAAGUGAACAAUGACAAGGAAAAUUCUCACAUAAGAAAAUUGUGGAACAUAUGAAAUGCCCAUACAGAAUAACAGUUGCUAUUGAAACCAUGGACACUGAUCCACAUCACGUUUGGAAAAGAGAGAGUGAAUUACAACUAUUAUCUGUACUAGUUUGAUACAGAUAUUUAGCAGCUCAGUAGGAAACCUUAUUUUGCAGACAAGAUGACUGCCAGAUGCACACAAUUAUAAAAGUGCACAAUGUGUUGGGGUGACGGAAGUCAUUUCUCAAGUCUUUUAUGCGGUGUGUGUGAGUUAUGUUGUUUUUCCCUACGAAAGCAAUAAUGAGACUGAACAAAAACAACAUAUAAGAUAAUUGAAUUAAAGUUUAAAUAAACCUUUGUAAAUUAAAAGCAUGCAGUUCCUGAACUGAAUUUAAACCUCAGCUAUUUUCUCCACCAGCUCAGAGUCUUUGGUCACAAUCUCCGACAGAGUUGAACACUUUCCAGCAAUCGACUUGAUGACCCACUGCCUGCAAUGAUCGAUAUGUUCUUAAAAUUCAAUUAUUAAAGUCAUUACAUGGGAAAACUAUAAUGAGGGACUCGAUUAAACCCUACCCGGCUGAGUACUUAUAAAUAAGAAAGUAUAGAAAUCAUGCCAGUUGUUAAGCAUAUAACGGAAAACUUCUGCUAAAAAUGCUACCUAUGGCUCCAAGCAUACUCAAACUUAGGUGAAUAUGAAAGAACAAGUGCUGACAAGAGAAGUUCAUCCAAAAAUGCUGAGUGCUUAUGCUUCUGCGACACAACAAGCUUCCUGCAUCACAUAUACUAGACCAAGUAGGUGUCAUGACAUAAAUUGAAAAGCAGACAAGAUCAAGAAGAUCCAAAAUUAUUGAUAUAUAAUUAUAGUAAAUAAUUGCACAUCAAAAACUCUAGAGGAAGAUAGAUGAAUCUCCAUGUCAGGAAACCAAAGAACAUGACGCUACAAAGGACCGUUGCUUCACAUGCAUAUCUGCUACUAUUUUAAAACAAUUAUGUUAGAACAAGUGUAAGAGAGAGGAAAAAGCACUACUGAACCGAAAAUGAAAAGGGGGAAAACCUGGAAUGCCAUGCAGUGCCGAAAUCACUACUUAGCAACAAAAGCGCCCUGCUAUGCUUCAUGACGUCACUUUCAAAACUAUUAUCCAAAGAUAAUGACACAUACAAAGACUUCUCAUCCCCAGAUACAUCUGAUCUGCUGUUAAGUGCCUUCUAUUGUCUACUUGCUGCCAUAAACGCAUGCUUAGAAGCUUCAUAUAACGGGAAAAAAAAUUGCGUUGAAAUCCCCAACUUAUGAUCCCCAUUCCAAAAAACUGAGUUGCCAUUAGCUGAGCGCAUCACAGUACUGCCAUCAGAUGAGGGUGAGAAAUGGACUGCCUCUUUAUUCAGCUUGGAAAAUUGGGACGGGUGAAGAAAUACCACUUCAUCUCUGGGUUCAAUCAAGAGGAAAGAACAAUAUAUAAGACGAUGGCAUUACUACAUAUUCCAAAAACGUAACUGAGAACCCUUCCAAAAUUAAAAAAGAGAACACCUCUACACAAAAUCAUAAUGCACCCACACACACACACACACACACACACACACAAUUCAAAAACUUUCAGCAUAAGAAUAAGGCAUACUUGGACCGAAAUCGAAAUUCCAGAUUCGGUAACAGUAAUGAACUAACACUGAAUCAACAUUUUGAAUUUGAACUAACACUGAAUGGACAUUUUCCAAAAAAUAUGAAAUCCCAAGUAAAAUCAAGCUGUUACUUUUACAUAUGCAUGGAUCAACUCAUUUGGGAUCAAAUAUCUGUACUUUUCGACACGGAAAUUACACUUUGUGUACACCAACCAAGCACGAAUAAAACCUAUAUAUACAAAACUCUAUGGGGCAUUUCAUCGAACACAAAGUCUGCAUCUUUACUGAAAACAGAGAAGCUAAACCUGAAAUCACUGAUUAUCUACUAACAUACUACUAACAUACAAGUCAGAAGAUCGACCGUGUCUGCUUCGGAACGACGCAGCUCCUCUCCUUCCAUAUUUUCUGUUUGUUUCCCGAGAAAAUCCAAGGGAAAGGAAAACCCGAGGGAAAAUGACAGCUUUAUACUAUGUUGGAACAAAAUGGUAAAUUAAUUAAAAAAAGAAGUACGUGGAAGUUUUUUAUUAGUUGUUGAAAUAAGUUGCAUGAUGCUGGCCGUAGAUGAUCCAGUUUCGGGCCAAUGUCACACUGACACGUAUACACCAUUCUUCGACUUUUAUUUUCUUGUAUAAAAUUUUGGAGCUGCUAUGGCUAUUCAGAAGAGAAUGCUUUGAAUAAUGAUAUAUUCUUCUCAAUAAGAGGAACUUAUAGGUGUACAACCCUAACAUAAAAGGAAAAAAAACUAAUAACAAGUGAUUACAUGGGAUUACAUAUCAAUUAGGGAUCCUACCUAAAAUACAAAAGUCAACACUCCCCCUCAAGUUGGUGCAUAUAUGUCGCUCAUGCCCAACUUGUGUAAGAAACUUGAAAACUUGUGACUCGAAACAGCUUUUGUGAGGAUAUCUGCCAACUGAUCUUCAGUUCUUAUCGCCGGUACUUCAAUUAUUUUCCCUUCCAAUUUUUCUUUGAUGAAGAAUCGAUCAACUUCAACAUGCUUUGUUCUAACAUGUUGUACUGGAUUAUCUGCAAUGUCACGAGCAGCUUUAUUAUCACAAAAUAAUUUCAUGGGCUGAUCAUGUUGUAUACCCAAAUCACUUAACAGAAGCUUAAGCCACAAAAUUUCACAAAUCCCCAAAGCCAUACCUCUGUAUUCUGCUUCUGCACUGGAACGGGCAACCACAUUCUAUUUCUUACUUCUCCAUGUAACCAAGUUACCCCCAACAAACGUAAAGUAACCUGAUGUUGAGCGUCUAUCAUCAAUAGAACCUGCCAGUCUGCAUCAGUAUAACCUUCAACACUAAAGUGAUUAUUCCUCUUAAACAAAAUUCCUUUGCCCGGACUUCCCUUCAAAUAUCGCAAUAUUCUCAUCACGGCAUUUAUAUGUUGUUCUCCAGGAUCAUGCAUGUAUUGACUCACUACACUCAAGGCAUAAGCAAGGUCCGGUCUUGUGUGUGCCAAAUACAUCAACCGGCCUACUAACCUUUGGUAUCUUCCUUUGUCAACUGGUACUUGAUUAGGAUCAACACUAAGCUUUAAUCCUUCUUCUAAUGGUGUAGCUAAUGGCUGACAAGCUGACAUGCCAGUUUCGUGCAACAAAUCAAUAAUAUACUUCCUUUGAGACAAGAAAAUUCCAGAACUGCUUCUCGACACCUCAAUCCCUAAAAAAUAUUUUAGGGAUCCAAGGUCCUUCAUUUCAAAUUCUGCAGACAGGUAUCUUUGCAAGGCCGCACGUUCUUCAGGAUCAUUACCUGUUACCACCAUAUCGUCUACAUACACAAUAAGUGCAGUAAGCUUCCCAUUCUGUCUUUUCAGGAACAAAGUAUGAUCAGAGUUACUUUGUCUGUAACCAAAUGCUCUCAUAGAUUUUGUGAAUCUUCCGAACCAUGCUCGAGGGGACUGCUUCAAGCCAUACAAGGAUUUCUUCAACCUGCACACUUUUCUUUUGUAUUUAUCUGGAGCAUUACAUCCCGGUGGAAGAUCCAUAUAAAUCUCUUCUGUCAAGUCUCCAUGCAAGAAGGCGUUCUUCACAUCGAACUGUUGUAAGGGCCAAUUAAGAUUUGCAGCCAAGGACAACAAAACACGAACUAUGUUGAUCUUGGCUACAGGUGCAAAUGUAUAUGUGUAGUAGAUUCCAUAUUUUUGAGUGUAUCAUUUGCUACCAGUCUUGCCUUGAAACGAUCCACCGUCCCAUCUGCUUUGUAUUUCACAGUAUAGACCCAUUUGCAUCCCACAGGUUUCUUGCCAGCUGGCAAAUCUGUGAUCUCCCAGGUAGCAUUCUUCUUCAAAGACUUCAACUCUUCAUUCAUUGCUACUUGCCAACGUGGAUCAGUUAAAGCCUCCUGCACACUGUUAGGAAUAGAUACAGUAGAUAAUUGAUGUACAAACGACUUAUUUGAUUCUGACAGGUGACUGGUAGACACAUAAUUACUUAACGGGUAUAACACAUUAGACUCAAGGUUGGGCUUACUCACCGGAUACCUAGUUUUGCAUUUAGGGUCGGCUUCAUAAGUAAGUUUAGGAAUACCUCGGUUGACGCGAUCAGGGAGAUGAUGUGGUGGUGGUGCAUCCGGGAUCGAAGACGAUUGAUUAUGGUUAUUGGGACUCAAGAUCGACUGUGAGGUAGCUGGCGACACAGGGCUGUCUGGUGAUGAGGAAACUGGCAGUGAGCUAUCAGGCAGUGAGUUAUCUGGCGAUGUCGACUCGUCCCUUUCAAGGUUUUCAACAUUGUUUCCAUGUGAAUGAUCACCACUUGUCUCCAAGACAUUACCACUUAAUUCCAAUUCAUUCACAUCAUUAUUUUCGUGUGAGUGAUCACCACUUAUUUCCAAGACAUCACCAUUUAAUUCCAAAUCAUUCACUCUAUCUAUAUCUGGAAUAGUAUAAUCAAGAGUUUGAACUUCUUUCUGAUUCUCCCCCUGAAGUGAAGACUCGGGAUUGGCAAAGUACAUAUCAUUAUCAUGAAACGCAACAUCCAUAGUGACAAACAACUUAUUCGUCGGUGGGUGAUAACAACGGUAUCCUUUCUGCCUUGAUGCAUACCCCACAAACACACAUCGUAAGGCUCGAGGUUCAAGCUUACAUCGAUGUUGUUUAUGAAGAUGAACGAAGGCCAAACAACCAAACACAUGAGGUGGAAAAUUAGGGACUGCAUGAGCAUCAACAUGUGAAGAAAUUGCCUGAAAAGGUGUAUGAAAAUCAACCGAUCGGGAUGGAACACGAUUAAUGAGAUACGCAGCUGAGGUGAGAGCUUCUCCCCAAUAGCAUAACGGGAGACGAGCCUCGAGUAAAAAAGCACGAACAACCUCCAGAAGCUGACGGUUCUUUCAUUCGGCAACCCCAUUUUGUUGUGGAGUAUAUGGACAUGUAGUUUGAUGAACAAUCCCAUGAUGAUCAAGAAAGGCACGAAGUUCAGAGUUAACAUAUUCGCCACCAUUAUCACUCCUGAGAACCUGUAUUUGUGACUUAUAUUGUACUUGUACCAUUUUGUAAAACUGUUGAAACAAAGAAGUAACUUCACCUUUGGAUUUCAUCAAACAAACCCAAGUCAUACGUGUGCAGUCAUCAAUAAAAAUAACAAACCAAUGAGCACCACCAAAUGUAGCAGUUUUAGAUGGACCCCAAACAUCAGAAUGAAUUAUCAUAAAUGGAACAUAACUUUUAUUCAAACUGGAUGGAAACGAGGCACGAUGACUUUUAGCUAGUUCACAAACACCACAUUUAAAGCUAGAAACAUCAUGCUUAACAAAUAGGCUAGGAAACAACCUCCGUAGAUAACCGAAAGAAGCAUGUCCAAGUCGACGAUGCCACAACCAAACCUCCGAAGCUUUAUUCCGAUCCCCUGAAUUUCCGUCCACUGCAAGAGCUUGAGUCAACAUUCGAGAACUGUUUGAUGUCAGCUCCAAGUAGUAGAGCUUCCCUUUCCUAAUACCAUAACCAAUCGUCUUGCGAGUCCGAAUGUCCUUAAAAACACAAAAAGAAGGCCAAAAAAUCAAAAGACAAUGCAGGACGACAGUUAUUUGAGCAACAGAUAAUAAAUUAUAGUCAAGAGAAGGCACAACAAGUACGGUAUCAAGACUAAGGGUAUCUGAAAGGGAGACGGUUCCUUCCCCGAUAACAGGGGCAUGAUUACCAUUGGCGACACUGACGACAGUUUUGGUGGAUGGUUUUAGGCUACAUGUCUAAAAUCACAAGUCAUAUGUUCAGUAGCACCGGAAUCAAUUAUCCAUGUAUUAUUCGUAACAGAUGCAGAAACCUUUAAAGUUUUACCAUCGUUGUUUGUAUGUUCAGAAGCUACCUUAGCUUUGGCAAUCAAUGCACACGACUCAUUACAGGGGGGAUGACGAGUCCAAUGUGUCAUUGCUCUACGUGAGUUGAGUGCAACGUCUGAGGUGAUUGAUAGGGCCAAGAUUCCAAACCAACUAGGUCAACAAUGUGAGAUCCCUGGAACAAAAACAAACAGUAACACAAAAAAGGACAACCUUUUUUCCUUUUUCUUUUUUUUUUUUUUUUUUUUUUUUUUUUUUCUUUUUUUUCCUUUUUUUUUUCUUUUUUUUUUUUUUUUUCUUUUUUUCCUUUUUUUUUGAAUUCCUUCAGAACACGCAAAGCAAAAUAAAUGCACGUGGGGAGUUCCUUCAAAACACACAAAUCAAAAAAUAAAUGCAGGGAUCAUAUCAAAUCAGUUUAGCAGAACACAGGUUGGGCUGCAGAUGGUAUGAUGAGUCAAAUGCGUAGACGCCAGGAAGAGACAGAUCGGUUUCUGGUGCAGAAGAAAUCGUGGUUGUCAACCGGGAUUUGCAACGACAAGGUUUCUAGAUUAGGAUCUCGGUUUGUGGGAGUGCGAUGCAGCAACAGAUGGUAGUGGGUGACUGCAGGGAUCGGCUCAGUGAACUCGGAUCAGCAACGACGGCGUCGCUCGCUGGUGUGACAGUGCACUGCACAACUGGUUGCGCAACUAGUGAACUCGGAUCAGCAACGACGGCGUCGCUCGCUGGUGUGACAGUGCGCUGCACAACAAGCUGUGCAACUGGUGGUUCUUAUUUCUGCGCACAACGAGACUUUUUUCUUUUUUUCUAACCUAGGCUCUGGUGCCAAGAAGAGAAUGCUUUGAAUAAUGAUAUAUUCUUCUCAAUAAGAGGAACUUAUAGGUGUACAACCCUAACAUAAAAGGAAAGAAAACUAAUUACAAGUGAUUACAUGGGAUUACAUAUCAAUUAGGAUCCUACCUAAAAUACAAAAGUCAACAUAUUCUCUCUCUACAUCUCUCUCUCUCUCUCUCUCUCUCUCUCUCUCUCUCUCUCUCUCUCUCUCUAGGGUUCCGUGAUCUGUAUAUGCGUCUCGAUGGCUAUGGAAAUUGUGGUGGAUGCGGCGUCGUUUGACGCCGAGCUGUUGCAGCUCAAUGAUUUGUCUCCUUUGGCCCUCAAAUCGAAUCCGAGCUACGUCGAGUCGCUGUUCGAGCAGUGGCUUUCGCUUCCCGAUACUAAUCGCCUGGUACUUGAAAACCCAAUUUUUUUGUCUUCAAAAUUUGAAAUUUUUGGUGUUUUCGCAUUGUUUUGGUUGUGCAUCUUGUUGGGUUUCGAAGGAUUUAUGGGUGCAGUUUUUGGUUUUUGAAUUUUGGUGAGCUUGGUUUUUUGCUGUUGAAUUAAAAAUUUCUGUGUUUUUUCAUGUGUGUAUGUUUUGAGAUACACAUAAUUUGCAUGGAUUUGUAUAUGUGUUUGUUCUAGCCUGUGAAACCAGCAUGAGAGCUAAGAAAUAAUGAUGCUGAGUUGAUUUUAGUAUAUAUUGAUUUUCGUGCCCAUGGUAUUGAAUUUGUUCGGAAACGAUGACUUUGCGAUUAAUGAAGCAUUAAAGGGCACAUUUCAGUAUGGAAAAAGGGAUGAAAAUUGUAAAUUGUUAGCAAUGUUCGAAAUUACCUAAUGCCUUAAAGUAGUUACAAAUUUGUAAUUAGUUGUUGGAAAUGCUAAAGUUUAUAUUUUUUUUAAUUAGGAUACUGGAUACCUAUGAUUUACAUACUACAUAAUCUUUCAUCUUUUCUGAUGCAUGACAGUUUUUUCAUUUUCCCGACUCUAUGGUUGCAGGUGACACAAACUGCUAACUGAAGCAAAGGCAGGUAGGCCUCUGAAUGUUCAGGGAAAUUCUUCUAGUCCACAUGCCACUGCAGGCAGUACUUUGCCUUCUAUGUUUCCAACCAAAGUGGGACAAAGGGAAGGCCCCACAGUCCCGGAAAGAGACUCCACCUCUUCCAUCCUCUCGGGUGCGUUCAUCAGCCAGAUCUGAUGACAGGGCAGCUUUCAAGGAUGAUGCAUUGAAUGAGUUACGAGCAAAACGUUUGAAGCUGCAUGACCCUGAGGCUCACCGCAAGUUGAGAUAUGCUUCUCGUAGUGAAGAUGAUGGAUCAUCAGGGGAUGAUGCAAUGAUUGACAGUGAUGAUGAAAGGUCACAGGGACUAACUUUUGAUGUUAUAAAGGAGAUUACCAUUCGAAGGUCGAAACUUGCAAGUGGUUUAUGGAGCCCUUCUUGGAAGAGUUAAUUGUGGUUUGCGUUGUAAGGGUUGGAAUUGGGAGGUCAAAGUCUGGGACUAUCAAUGGUGGGAGCAGUACGGGCAGGCAUAGCAGCAACUGCAGCAGCUUUGGAAGCUGCGGCUGGUGUAGGGAAGUUGAUUGAUACGAGUGCCCCUGUUGAUUUUGGAAGAGAGUCAAAUCUAAAGCAUAAUUUUGAGCUGCCAAUAUCAUUGGCUGCUCUUCAGAAGUUUGGAAAGCCACAGGGUUCUUGGCAAGAAAGCAGCGAAUAGAAGCAAUAGUUGAGUGCCAAGUCCCAGAGAAUAAUGGGAGGAGGCAUGCGCUGAUGCUUACAGUUGGCGACUACAUGAGAAGAAGAGGGAUUCUCUGAACAUAUUAAAAACCACCACAGAAACAAGAAAGUUCAAAAAGAGAGAACAUAUUAAAAACAGAUCAAGGCAUGCAAAAAAAUACAGACUCUAUCUGCAAACUAGCUGAUUAAGCCAGAAAGUUUCCUAGCUUACAACUAUGUUUGGUUGACACAGUUUUGUUGGUAUGAACUCCAAUGGGAAUCCAUGCCAGCACAACCAUCUUAAUUUUUUGGAAAGACAUUGGUAUCACCCAGUGAGUCGUACGUAGUUUAGUUGGAGCAAUCUCAGUCUCUUCAUAUUUUUAAACGCCUUGGUACUGAAACUAGUGUUUUCAAGACUCGGCAAAUUCAAAGCCAGACCUUCAAUUUUUUCAGUUCCCUGCUAUCCGAAAAAAACAGACUCCAAAUAAGAGAAGGCUUUGCAUGAAAAAAAGUUAGAUUACUAACUUACAUAUGCUUACACGUUUAACAUAAAGUUGAUUGGGAAAGUACUUACAAAUUUGUCUAUCAAUACAUCAUUUACAUCUUCAGGACGCCACAAUCUACUCCGUUCUCUAGGGAAAUCGGGAUUUUCUGCAUGCACGAUAUCUCUGCCCAUAUACCGAAGCAAAUCAUGCAUCAUAAUCUUGUUUUCUCUAUUAAUAGUUACAAGGCACCGGUCAAGGAGGACCUUGAUUCCUGUUGUUGCAUAAAAGCCACAACCAUCCAAGAUUUGUAUGACAUCGUUCUUGUCCAUUCCGAUAAAAAAACAAGCUAUAUCGAGGAAUAUUCGCCUCUUGUAAUUAUCAUUUAGCUCGUUGUAGCUUAUUUUCAGUUGUGCCUGAAUUUCUCCACGAGGAAUUAUUUUCAAUUCAUCCAAUAUACUUCUCCAUUCAUCUACGCUUCGUUUGAAAAGAGUAGAUCCUAAAACUUCAAGAGCCAGCGACAAUCCUCCACAGUAAUUAACAACUUCUCUUUCGAGUGCAAGAUAUUGACUAGGACAACUACUACUUCUGAAAGCAUGCCAACUUAGGAGCUCAAGAGCUUCUUCUCGGUCCAUUACUUUCGCCCGAUAUAUCUUUUGAAUUGCAAAUUCUUUUAGCACACUUUCAUUUUUAGUUGUGAUGAUGAUUCUGCUCCCCGGGCCAAAAAGUGGCAAUUUCCAACUAAUUCACGUAAUUGCUUCACAUCGUCUACAUCAUCAACUAUGACAAGUACCUUUAAGCGUCGAAAUCUUUCCCUUACCAAGGCGGUCCCUGCAGCAACACUGCUUACCUUUGUCUUGGUUUGCAAGAUAUCAAAAAGAAGUUGUUUUUGCAAUUUUUCUAGCUUCUUUUCCCUCACUUUUUCAAGGAAACUUUUACCUUCAAAUCUUUCAUAAAAUUCGUUAUAAAUGGCUUUAGCAAUCGUUGUUUUACCUAUUCCACCCAUGCCCGAAAUUCCAAUCACACGAACAUCAUCUGAAUCUCCGAUGCCUAAAUAAUUACUAAUAUCUAGCACUCGAGUAUCUAUUCCGACUUGAUAGGGCGCUACGUCGAAGUAUUUGUUGUUCAACUUAGUAGUGACGUCAUUGGUAAUCAUCCUGAUAAACUUUGCUUCAUGCCUGGCAUUAGUCAAGUUGAGAAGCAAAACGAAGAUUGUUAUACAACGAAAUUGAACUAAUUAAUACACAAAAUUAUUUAUCAUGACUAGAGAUUUUAAUUAAGACAAUUUUUUUGAGGUGGUGUGUUUAAACUUAGCAAACAUCAAUUAAAAUUAAAAUAAGAAACACAAACAAAAAACCCAGCAUCCCUUCCGUCCGCAGCCAGUCGCCGGCAGCUUCCCAACUGUGAUUAGUGUAGCCUUAACAGUUUAAGCUUUAUUGUAUGAUUUUAUUACAGAGGUCUAAGAAAUCGCAUGAUUCCAAAUUAAUAAGCAAAGGUACAUUAAAGCCUUAAUUCAUAAGAAAAUAAAUUAGUAAGUACCCGUCGAAAGUGUUUCUGAGAUCCCAGCCAGGCAAAUUCGAAGCUUCAGUAAGAGCAGCUCUCCACCUCUCUACCUUUUUUCAUCUGUAUGUUUCAGAAACGAUUGUGCAAAACUACUAGUCUGUUUCCUGACAUGCGAAGGAUCAACGUCAUAGAAUAUCGGCAAAACUAAUUGCCCUAGCAUUCUUCUACACUCCAUGAUCUUUACCAGCUCCUCGAGACACCAGCUGGAGUCCGAGUACCGUCUUGAGAAGACGAUGAUAGAGAUCCUAGAACCCUGGAUUGCCUGCACAAGUUCGGUAGUUAUAUCUUCUCCUCUUCUUAGUUCGUCGUCAAUAAAGGCGUUGAUUCCGGCCUUUGUCAAUGCUUCGUGGAGGUGGCCCGUGAAGUUUUUACGUGUGUCUUCACCUCUGAAGCUUAUGAACACUUCGUAGAGCGAACCUUUUGAGAAGGAGGACAAGGACGGGGAGGCGGAGGAGGACGAUGAGGAUGAGAUUGAGGGUGAGGAGGUGGAGGAGGACGAUAAGGAUGAGGGCGAGGACGAGGUUUUAUCGGGGACGGAGAUAUUCAUUUGGCGAAAGACGAGGCCGAGGGAGCAGAGGAGGAAGAUGAGGACAUCAAAAACAAGACCGGAAUUGCGAUGUGCAUAGUGGUAGGACAGUAACACCAGCACCAUAAUUAACAGCUUCCCUAAGCUCAACCAGUUAUCCAUUGCCUUCAAUUUCUUUAGGCAAAUUGAAGGUUUUUUGGCGAUAUUGAUUUUCAUUUUUUCUACCGGAACUACUUUCUUCUUCUUAUAAUUAAUCAACCCGCCUAGGCGGCGCAGUUGACUGUAGACUUGAGUAUUGGUAAAUUGACUUAUGGUCCUACACCCUAAAUUCUACGAGGUGCUCUUUUUCUUCCACUAUAAAGCCAAAUUAGACACGGUAAAUUGACUUGUGGUCCUACACCCUAAAUUCCAGGAGGCACCCUUUUUUUCCACCUUAUCGCCAAAUUCUACGCAGUGUUUUCUGGUUCACACAAUGAUGAGAUACUUUUCAGUUUAUAGGAACACAGUCCAGUACACUGUACACCACUUAUAAAACAACUUCAAGAGGGCUAGUUUGAAAAUAUCCUACCGCGAAAUUUGAUUUGGUUUGGACCAAAUUUUGAUUUAGAUGAAAACUAGUAACAGUGCCUGCGCGUUGCUGCGGAUGUUUAAAAUGUUUUGAUAAUAUAUAAAUAUAGAAAACAUAAUUUAUUAAAGCUAGAUUUCUAUACCUAAGAUAAAGGUUGACAGUUUUCAUAAUUAUCAAAAGUUGGCAGUGUCCAAUUGCUCACUGUUCAAAAGAUAGAGAUGCUAUAAAAGCUUAUUUCAUCUACAUAAGUUCAUAGUAUCAUGUACUCAAAAUAAUCAUAGUAUCAAAAGAUUGGCAGUUUUCAACUGCUCAUCGUUCAAAUACGAAAAUAUACAUAUGUCCAUAUCAAAAGGUUGGCUCCGCACAUCUGCUGUGUUUAUGAUUUUUCCUGUUCAAUCUCUGGUCUUGCUUGUUUGGGAAUGGCCACCCUUUUUCUUGGCCACCAUGCUGUUGAAUUGGUGCCUAUUCUUUUUUGCUUUGCCCAUUAUUUUUCUCUUGAUAUAUAUUACGAAUUGGAAUCAGUAAGAAUUCCAUAUAAAAAACUAAAUUUGUCAAUCUAUUUAACUUAGUGCGAACUUCGUCAAACAACCAAGUAUAAUCCAGCAAGGUUAUUUUCUCUUUUUUUUUUUUUGAUCAAAAUGAAUUCUACUGUUCCCAUCUAUUUGCACAUCCCUUUAAAUUAUCGAAAACACAAAAGAAAUAUAUCUUGAUCCAUACCAAUUAAUGAUUUCCCAUUUACUCAAGUCAAACGUCAAAGCCAAUGAAUUGAUGAAGGAGCUAAAAAAGAGGGACAAAAAAAAAUCUCUAUUAUUCAAUUAUAUGGAGAUUUACCUGAUUGUACAAAAGGUUUGAAAAUUACCGUAAAAUUUGAAAAGAGAGAUGAGAUGGAGUGGAAAUCACAUACCAGCAUCAGGCUUAAAUUUGUAGUGCUCAUCUGAGAGAGCAGUGAUAGUGUUGAUGAGAGUGUAGGGAGAGAAACAAAAUGCAAAUCGUACGAGUUUGAGAGAAACUGCUUGAGGGACACUGCAGAUUGAUCGUUGAGAUUUGAGAAACCGAGGAAGCUGCAAUUUGAGACGAACUACUUUGCAUCAAACGUGGGGGAGUUUCUCUCCUCCACGUUUGAAUAGAAGAGGUAGUUUCAGAGUUGUCUGCAAUUAGUCCUAUCAGGAGCUUCUGCACUGGUUGAUGUCUCGGUCUUUUCCUUAGUCGCAUGUGCAUUGUAGACUUGGGUAGAUGAAAAGUAGAAAGGAAAUAAAAAUAUAAAGUCAAAGUUACCACUUAACUAUCUAUGUUGAUUCAUGUCCCACGCAUAAUAAGAAUAGUGAAUCAUUUUUCAUCUCGUGCACUGGUUUGUCAUUGUCAUUCGAAUUCACAAAUCCAUUUACUCCGAAUUUCUUAGUUAUCACCAGGGAAAGAAUGUAAUAAGCAAAAAUCUAUUUCUAGGUUGUCCCACUAAACUACCUGUUAAACCAUGGUAAAUCAAAACGGGAAAAAAAUUAUAAUACCUUUGUCAAACCUCUUGGGAUUCAAGUCCACCGACUCCACCCCAAUACUCAGUGGCGCCCCAGAAAUCUUGCACGUUCAGUAGCCAAGAUCAUGCAUGUAUCAGUAUGAAUAUGGAAGAGAAAAUAAAUGCAAUUUAUUAGAAUAAAGAAUAUGGGAUCAACAAAGUUUGUCCAAACUUACAGUGAGGCUAAUAAACAACAACUAAAGAUAAUUUUUCGUUUUGCUACAUGAGAGGGGCAUCCAAAAAUCCAAACCUGUCGAUACGGCACAACUGAGGAUGCAAACUUUAUCCAACUAAGCAAGGGGCUUGAUCUUGGAAAGACGGCCAGAAUGAACAACAAUGUAUUCACUUUAGUAAAAGUGCCAAGACAGUGAUUGGUGAACGUUAUUUCCCAGCUGGGUUAGUUUGGCUAUUCCUUUCUAUUGAAAAGGAGUCAGUUGUGCAUGAGUCACCACAUUUUGCUUCAUGGCGAAAAAUUUGAGGGAUCAAUAGUGUAUGGCCCUGAAUCCCAAAAGGAAAAAAUAACUCAACUAAGUAUAUAUAAUAUUAAACAUAUAAAGGGUAAGAUCAACCACAUCCCAUAGGAGAACAAUUAAACGCCACUCUCUCAGUUUCGAGUACAACUGCACUUUGUGAUUAAAAUUCACACAUGUUUCACAUAUGCUAAGAAGUAAUGUUCCUGUAGGUUUUUCAUCAUGAACGACAUUUGCAAUCUACUUUUCGAUUUCAAACCUUAAUUAUUCAUUGCCCAUUAAGAAAUGACUAUAUUGCCCGGAAACUCUACUCAUAGUUUAUAAAUCUGCAAUUUUCAAAGCUUAACCUUAAACAUUUAUCAUGCUGAAAAAAAUACUUAAGCAUCUUAAUUGGAUUCCCUACAAUUUGGUGGAGGUUGAAUGGAUUUUUCCUCCCAUUAUACCCCCGGAAAAUAUAAAUAAUCAUUGGAGACCGAGCAACACACACUCAUAAAUAAAAGAUUAGGAACCUUUGGUUCAGGAUAAACAUAAUGCAUACAGAAGAAUAAAAUUGCCAGAAAACAGAUCGAUGCACAGAGAGAUAGAGGCAUAAAGAGAGAACUUACAUCAGCUGUGCUCUCAAAUACAUAUGGUAAUCUGCAUACGAAGAAACAUAAUACUGAAACAGUUAUAAAUCAUCCUAUUCAAACAAAUCAAACGAAAUGCAUAAAGAUUACCUUAGUUUUUGAUUCUAUGAUUUUGUAUUUGACUCCACCUCCACGUUGUUCUUUGGUUGUCUCUUUUACUGAAUUAAGUAAUCGACUGAAUUACUUAAUUCAACUGAAUUUAAUCAGAGAGAUGAAAGCUUCUGUAUAAAAAAAUAUUUUAUGCUCUACACGCGUAGCAAAUCAUCAGUAACCUCCAAGAACCUAAUUGUACGAUAAACACUCUAGCAUUAACUACCCAAGAAUUAUAAUCAUGCUUAUUGCCAAAAAUGAUAAACAUGUUUACCUUGACUUCAUUUUUAAUGGCAUAUGUAAUAUACUUUCCAUCUGCAUUAAAAUAACCUUCUUCCCUCUGCUCGUUAAUCAAGUUGAAAGGUUCUGUUUGAAUCCCAUCCACAACAAAGUCCUUGUAAUCCUGCCAAAAGAUACCACCAAUCACUGGCUAUCGCUUCCGUUGAUCCAAUUAGCAGAAGUAUCCAACAAUUUCCUCGACUGAAAAAAAUCUUGCCAAUUUAGAAAAGAACUAUUCCAAAUUACGGAUGUACUCGAUUAAUUUAACCAAGAAUAUGCACGGCACCACCACUAUUAAGAAACAUCAUCAUACAAAGACAAAAGUUUUUACCAUCAGUUUUUAAAUUGCAACCAAAACAUGCAUAGAAAGAAUAAAAAUGACAACAAAGAUGGCAAAACAAUUAACCACACAUGUUGUUUAUCCAAAAAUGCUGAGAGCUUAUGCUUCUGUGACACAACAAGCUUCCUGCGUCACAUACACUAGAUCAAGUAGGCGUCAUGACAUAAAUUGAAAAGCAGACAAGAUCAAGAAGAUCCAAAAUUAUUGACAUAUAAUUAUAGUAAAUAAUUGCACAUGAAAAACUCUAGAGGAAGAUAGAUGAAUCUCCAUAUCAAGAAACCAAAGAACAUGACACUACUAAGGACUGUUGCUUCACAUGCAUAUCUGCUACUAUUUUAAACAAUUAUGUUAUAACAAGUAUAACUCCGCCGUGUAAGUUUAUCUUACAUUGCCGGUCCCAAGCCCGGAUAAAGGAGGAGGGGGAGGGCGUCAGGUAGUCGACAGCCGGCACUCCAUGAUUACGUCGAAUCCUUAUGAAAAUGAAUCCAGAACGAAAUCGCGCUAAAGCUAGGGCGUCACCCGUAAGUGGCACGCUGUGUGGCCCGAGCACAGUGAUAAGUGAGCAAGGGUCACUGUAUCUCCAUCGGCACCCGGAUGCAGUGUUAAAUGAGCAAGGGGGCUAUAGAAACUUCUUUUCGAACGACUCCACUCAAAGUUGUUUGGGAGCAUAUGCUCCUAUCAACUUUACACGGGAGACACAAAAGAAGUACUUUGAUCCUAUUAGACGGGGAAGGGUGAAGAAGCUAGGACAGAAGGGUAGAGUUCAAGAGAGCAAAAUGCGUUUAGGAACGUGGAAUAUAGGAACCUUGACGGGAAAAUCUAUGGAAGUAGUAGAAGUUAUGGUGAGGAGAAGGAUAAAUAUUAUGUGCCUACAAGAAACUAAGUGGGUUGGUCGUAAGGCAAAGGAUCUAGAAAACUCAGGGUUUAAACUAUGGUAUUCGGGCACAAAUAGAACGAGAAACGGUGUUGGCAUCAUCGUGGACAAGACCUUGACACAAGAUGUUGUAGAUGUCAAGAGGGUAGGAGAUAGAAUCAUGGCAAUCAAGAUUGUAAAUAGGACAAGAACUUAUCAAUGUGAUUAGUGCGUACGCACCUCAAGUAGGGUUGGAUACGAGUUCGAAGGAGAAAUUUUGGGAAGACCUUGGAGACUUGGUGCAAGGAAUUGCUCAGACGGAGAAGUUAUUUAUAGGAGGAGAUUUAAAUGGACACGUGGGCAGGGAGACAGGCAACUAUGGAGGUUUUCAUGGUGGCCAUGGUUUUGGGGAGAGAAACGAGGAUGGGGAAGCUAUCUUGGAUUUUGCAAUGGCAUAUGAUCUCUUCUUAGCCAACACCUUCUUUAAGAAGAGAGAAGAACAUGUGAUCACCUACAAGAGUGGGUCGUCAAAAACACAAAUAGAUUUUCUUCUAAUGAGGAAAGGGGAUCGUAUAACUUGUAAGGAUUGCAAAGUUAUACCAGGAGAGAGCGUGGCUAAUCAACAUCGCUUGUUGGUGAUGGAUGUACAUAUCAAAAGAGUGAGAAAAAAGAACAAGACUUGGAAGUGCCCAAGGACUAGAUGGUGGAAUCUAAAAGAAGAAAAACAAGCCAUUUUCAAAGAGAAAGUAAUCACCCAGUAUGUGUGGGAUAGAGAGGGGGAAGCUAACCAAAUGUGGGAUUCCAUGGCUAGUUGUAUCCGAAAAGUAGCAAAAGAGGUAUUAGGAGAGUCCAAGGGUUUUGCCCCACACCAAAAGGAAUCUUGGUGGUAGAAUGAGGAGGUACAAACAAAGGUGAAGGCUAAGAAGGAAUGUUGUAAAGCCUUCUACAAGGAUAGGACCGAUGAAAAUGGUGAAAGGUAUAGAAAAGCGAAGCAUGAGGCGAAGAAAGCUGUGAGAGAAGCUAAGUUAGUGGCUUAUGACGAUAUGUAUAAGCGACUAGAUACCAAAGAAGGAGAGUUGGAUAUCUAUAAACUAGCUAGAGUAAGGGAAAAGAAGACAAGGGACCUAAACCAAGUGAGGUGCAUCAAGGAUGAGGAUGGAAAUGUUCUUGCUACAGAGAACGCGGUUAAAGACAGAUGGAAAGGUUAUUUUCAUAAUCUUUUCAAUGAAGGACAUGAAAGGAGUGCUUCUUUAGGGGAGUUGAGUAACUCAGAAGAGUGUAGAAACUACUCUUUUUAUCGUAGAAUCCGGAAGGAAGAAGUGGUUGUUGCUUUGAAGAAGAUGAAGCAUAGAAAAGCAGUAGGCCCAGACGAUAUACCAAUCGAAGUGUGGAAAGUUUUGGGAGAGACAGGUAUAACAUGGCUCACUGACCUUUUCAAUAGGAUUUUGAAAACGAAGAAGAUGCCAAAUGAGUGGCGAACGAGCACUUUGGUGCCUAUCUACAAGAAUAAGGGUGAUGUACAAAAUUGCAUGAACUAUAGGGGUAUUAAGCUAAUGAGUCAUACAAUGAAGCUCUGGGAGAGAGUCAUUGAGCAUAGAUUGAGGCAAGAGACACGGGUUUCGGACAACCAAUUCGGGUUCAUGCCAGGGCGCUCAACCAUGGAGGCAAUCUAUCUCUUACGAAGAUUGAUGGAAAGAUAUAGAGAUGGGAAAAAUGAUUUACACAUGGUCUUUAUAGAUUUGGAAAAUGCGUAUGAUAGGGUCCCAAGAGACAUUCUUUGGAGGAUUUUAGAGAAGAAAGGAGUACGAGUAGCAUAUAUCCAAGCUAUACAGGAUAUGUAUGAAGGAGCAAAAACUGCCGUAAGAACUCAUGAAGGACAAACCGAAAGCUUUCCCAUAACUGUAGGAUUACAUCAAGGCUCAUCAUUAAGUCCUUACCUUUUUGCGUUGGUAAUGGAUGAGUUAACAGGACAUAUUCAAGAUGAUAUUCCUUGGUGUAUGCUUUUCGCAGACGAUAUAGUGUUGAUAGAUGAAACUCAGGAAGGGGUAAAUGCAAAGCUUAACCUUUGGAGAGAAGUGUUGGAAUCUAAAGGUCUUCGCCUAAACCGAUCAAAGACAAAAUAUAUGGAGUGCAAGUUCAGUGCAAAUGGAGGCCAAAACGAGUUAGGGGUGAGGAUCGGAGAUCAAGAAAUACCAAAGAGCGACCGUUUUUGUUACCUAGGAUCUAUCUUGCAAAAGAACGGAGAAUUAGACGGAGAUCUCAACCAUAGAAUACAAGCUGGAUGGAUGAAGUGGAAGAGUGCAUCCGGCGUGUUGUGUGACCGCCGUAUGCCACUGAAGCUCAAGGGAAAAUUUUAUAGGACGGCAAUAAGGCCGGCGAUGCUGUAUGGCACAGAAUGUUGGGCGGUGAAGCAUCAACACGUACACAAAAUGGGUGUAGCGGAGAUGAGGAUGCUUCAUUGGAUGUGUGGGCACACAAGAAAGGAUAAGAUUAGGAAUGAGAAUAUCCGGGGUAAAGUAGGAGUAGCCGAAAUUGAAGGAAAGAUGAGAGAAAAUCGGUUACGGUGGUUUGGACAUGUGCAAAGAAGGCCUACUGACGCUCCAAUUAGAAGAUGCGACUAUGGGACAGAGGUUCAGGGCCGAAGGGGUAGAGGAAGACCUAGGAAAACUUUGGAAGACCCUAAGAAAAGACUUAGAGUACUUGGAUCUAAUGGAGGACAUGACACAGGACAUAACACAAUGGCGUUCUAAGAUUCAUAUAGCCGAUCCCACUCAGUGACUUGGAUUUUCCAAGUCUCCAACCGAGAAGUUUUCCUCACUCGGGAAAUUAAGGGAACACUACCUCAACCUACAUGCUCCAUUCACAAAGCUUCAACAUACAAGCUUCAACAAAAGAAAAUUCAAAGAACUUAGCGAAGAAGGCUUUGGUGUAUUUAACACAAUACGUUGAAAUGAAGGAAAACUUAUUUAUUGAUAUCCCCGAUAAGUUACAAAUAUGUACAUAUACUUGAGUCAAAAUAAACAAACAAGAGGGAGCCUUCACAAAGGUUGCUUAGGAGAAGUCUCAGCAGUCGGCAGAGCCCCAGAAAAAGAAGGCACCGGAGGUGGAUCAUUCGGAGCCUCAGUACUGGACAGAACCCUAGAAGGAUGAGGCAUCAGAGGUUGAUCAUUUGGAGUUUUAUUACGCGGUACAGCCCCAGAAGACGAAGGCAAUAAAUGCCUUUGGAACAAACCCACAAAUCUCUGAUGAUCAAGUAAAACCUGACCAUCAGAUUCCUUCAUUUGGUCAAGCUUCCUCUUCAUGUUUGUAGCAUAGUCAUGUGCGAGCCGGUGCAACUGUUUAUUCUCAUGCUUGAGCCCUCUAAUCUCCUGUUUGAGACUCAUCACUUCAGCCGCCAAUGAUUCAACCUGGCGGGUUCAAGCAAAUAGGCGUUGGGCCAUAUUAGAUACAGAACCUGCACACUGAACACUGAGAGCCAGAGAAUCCUUAACAGCCAACUCAUCAGACCGUUUGGAAAGUAGUCUGUUAUCUUUGGGAGUGAGAAGGUUCCUGGCCACUACCGCAGCGGACAUAUCAUUCUUCAUCACGGAAUCCCUAACGGUAAGAGGACCAGUAGGGGAGACGAAGGAUGGGCGCCAUAUAUUGUCUGGUGAAGGCGGGGCUGCCUCUUAAAAAAGGUUCAAGUCAAAACGACGGUCGGAGGGGCCAGACAUUUUCAAAGGUGUUGAAGAGAGAAGAGUUCGGACAAAUCAAGAUCUUAGAAGUGCAAGAAUGGAGCUUCUACUGGUGGAUAUUCAAGUGUGCUUUGGAACUUAAUGUCAGCCCCUAUAAAAAUUUGCACUCGACGAAGCUUCAGAAAUCGAAGAGGCGCCUGCUCAGAAAUCGAAGAGGUGUUUGCUUUCUCAAAAGCUGGGCUGCUCAGAGACCACGAGGGUCGAUCUCAGAAAUCGAAGAGGCGUUUGCUUUCUCAAAAGCUGGGCUGCUCAAAGACCACGAAGACCGAUCUCAGAAAUCGAAGAGGCUUGCUUUCUCAAAAGUUGGGCUGCUCAGAGACCACGAGGGUCGAUCUCAGAAAUCGAAGAGGCACCUACUUUUCCAGCCUUGUCAGCACCUGUCACACGCACACUCAGCUUUGCGGAAAUUAUGGGCAUUCUGUCGAAGAUUUCUGGCGAAGUAGAAAGCACAUGAAUCGUACUGUUCAAUCACCCACUUCUCACACGCAACAGUAGCUCAUGGGUACCACAGAUAACUUUGCCAAAGUUCUCUGACAAAGUUGAGACACGUGAAGCUUGCAGCUCCCACUACAUCGCUCUGACCAAGAAGGGUAAAAGAAUAGCAAAGAAACAACACUAACAAAGUUUACACAUAAAUUUUGAAGGUCUAGCUACCAUAUUAUUACCCACAAGGGUAAAGGAACAGUACCACUGCUGGAUAAUUGGAAAGUCCCGAUGUGUCAACCUCUGUGCUUCGUGGCAAGGUAGACUAGCAAACUUGCCCAACCUUUACUCACAUUCGAGAAAACACUCCCAACAAGAUUGCUUGCUCCAAAAUCGAAGAGGCACCGCCCUCCGAAUCUCAAGAGCCAGACUCCCAACAUGAUUACUUUCUCAAAAAUCGAAGAAAGGGUAAAGGAACAGUACCACUGCUGGAUAAUUGGAAAGUCCUUGUGUGUCAACCUCUGUGCUUCGUGGCAAGGUAGACUAGCAAACAUGCCCAACCUUUACUCACAUUCGAGAAAAUACUCCCAACAAGAUUGCUUGCUCCAAAAUCGAAGAGGCACCGCCCUCCGAAUCUUGAGAGCUAGACUCCCAACAUGAUUACUUUCUCAAAAAUCGAAGAGAGGGUAAAGGAACAGUACCACUGCUGGAUAAUUGGAAAGUCCCUGUGUGUCAACCUCUGUGCUUCGUGGCAAGGUAGACUAGCAAACAUGCCCAACCUUUACUCACAUUCGAGAAAACACUCCCAACAAGAUUGCUUGCUCCAAAAUCGAAGAGGCACCGCCCUCCGAAUCUCGAGAGCCAAACUCCCAACAUGAUUACUUUCUCAAAAAUCGAAGAGACACCGCUUUUCGAAUCCCGAGAGCCAGACCCCCAGCAGGAUUGCUUUCUCAAAAAUCGAAGAGGCAUCGUUCUCCGAAUCUCGAGAGCCAGAUCCCCGACAGGAUUGCUUGUUCGAAAACCGAAGAGGCACCACUUUCCCAACUUCAAGAGCUGGAUCUCCUUGGAUAAAGCUUGUCUGUAAUCUUCACAUGCAACAUCAGCUUUCCAGAUACCACAGACCACUUUUUCAAAACGCUCUGACAUAGUUAAAACAUGUGAAGCUUGCAGCUCCCACUACCGUGCUAUGACCAAGCAGGGUAAAGGAAUAGCAUUAUUACUUGAUGUUAAGGAGACUCCUAUAUAUGUCGACCUUCAUCCCCAACGGACAGGCAGACCUGCAAAAAUGCUCAACCCUCCCUCUUAUCUGAGAGGGCACUCCCAACGAAGCCUUUCGAAAUAUUCAGCUUUCUUUCCCCCCCCCCGAUAAUACCUCUGUAAACAAGCUAUACUAGAGCAAGAAUAUCUCAUAUCAUCAGGGUUAAAAGCAAGAGUAUCCCAUAUCAUGCUUUUUCCCUGUCUUUUCCUUUGGCCUUGUUCUUACCUGCAAGACAAGGAGAAAGAGAGCAAUCAGUCAGCACUUGGAAUCAAGCUUCCAGCCAGGAACUGACUGCCUGGAACCCCUUACCUGAUUACUUACCUGGCAUUGCUUUCGAGUUCUCAUCUUCAACAUCUUAUGCUUCCAGGGAAGAUACCGCAUCUGCCUGAGGAACAGAUAGGGCAAGUGAGAAGGAUACAAGGAAGCAUGUGGAGACAAGCGUAACAGCACACGUGCCGAUACAUCCACUACUCUGUCGAAAGCAAAAGUAUCCCAUAUCAGCAGGGUCGAACGUACUCUAGAUUUGAUGGACUUGUUUUGACCCUCAAAUUCUUCAGUCGACCUUAUACUCUGGAGGAAACUAGAAAACCCUCCAGCCCAGUUCAAGAAUAAGCCUGUGGAAAGUUACUUCUUCAAAAGCAAAAGUAUCCCAUAUCAUCUCUUCUCAUUUUUCUUCUCUUUAUCCUUCAUACUGCCUGCAAGAUAGGGAGAAUGUGAACAAUCAGCAGGAGCUUUGAUUGCUUACCUUGUCUGUCACUUUCAGCAGAUCCCCUAGCUCGGCGACUUGGGGGACUCUUACUACAUGGUUUGUAUCGCGCUUGACCAAGCCUGAAACUACAAGUAAGCUUCAAGUGAAAUUGAUACAUUACCUUGUGCAUCUCCACCAGUUACAGAUAUCACCCCUGGAUGGAGGAAGAGUACUUCCAGAGAAGAUGCCACAUCUACCUAUGAGACAGAUAAGGCAAGUCAAGACGAUACCACACUCCGGUACUUAGAAGUUUCGUGGUUACGAGAUAAUUCUCCCACAAUAUUUCCUAAUGUCAUUUGUACUAAAUCAUUCACUUGUACUCACUAAAGGAGAGCUUGAACCUAUGUACUUGUGUAAACCCUUCACAAUUAAUGAGAACUCCUCUAUUCCGUGGACGUAGCCAAUCUGGGUGAACCACGUACAUCUUGUGUUUGCUUUCCUAUCUCUAUCCAUUUAUAUACUUAUCCACACUAAUGACCGGAGCAAUCUAGCGAAGAUCACAAAAAGUGACCGUUUUCGCUACCUAGGAUCUAUCUUGCAAGAGAACGGAGAAUUAUAUGGAGAUCUCAACCAUAGAAUACAAGUUGGAUGGAUGAAGUGUAAGAGUGCAUCCGGCGUGUUGUGUGACCGUCGUAGGCCACUGAAGCUUAAGGGAAAAUUUUAUAGGACGGAAAUAAGGUCAGCGAUGUUGUAUGGCACAGAAUGUUGGGCGGUGAAGCAUCAACAUGUACACAAAAUAGGUGUAGCGGAGAUGAGGAUGCUUCGUGAGAUGUAUGGGCACACGAGAAAGGAUAAGAUUGGGAAUGAUGAUAUCCGAGGUAAAGUAGGAGUAGCCAAAAUUGAAGGAAAUAUGAGAGAAAAUCGGUUCCGGUGGUUUGGACAUGUGCAAAGAAGGCCUACUGACGCUCCGGUUCGAAAAUGUGACUACGGGACAGAGGUUCAGGGCCGAAGGGGUAAAGGAAGACCUAGGAAAACUUUGGAAGAGACCCUAAGAAAAUACUUGAGUACUUGGAUCUAACGGAGGACAUGACACAAAACCGAGCGCAAUAGCGUUCUAGGAUUCAUAUAGCCGACCCCACUUAGUGGGAAAAGGCUUUGUUGUUGUUGUUGUUGUUGAUGUUAUAACAAGUAUAAGAGAGAGGAAAAAUCACUACUGAACCGAAAAUGAAAAAGGGGGAAAACCUGGAAUGCCAUGCAGUGCCGAAAUCACUACUUAGCAACAAAAGUGCCCUGCUAUGCUUCAUGACGUCACUUUCAAAACUAUUAUCCAAAGAUAAUGACACAUACAAAGACUUCUCAUCCCCAGAUACAUCUGAUUUGCUGUUAAGUGCCUUAUAUUGUCUACUUCCUGCCAUAAACGCAUGCUUAGCAGCCUCAUAUAACGGAAAAAGAACUUGUGUUGAAAUCCCCAACUUAUGAUCCCUAUUCCAAAAAACUGAGUUGCCAUCAACUGAGCGCAGCACAGUACUGUCAUCAGAUGAGGGUGAGGAAUGGCCUGCCUCUUUAUUCAGCUUGGAAAACUGGGACGGGUGAAGAAAUCCCACUUCAUCUCUGGGUUCAAUCAAGAGGAAAGAACAAUGUUUAAGACAAUGACAUUACUACAUAUUCCAAAAACACAACUGAGAAUCCUUCCAAAAUUAAAAAAAAAAAGAACACCUCUAAACAAAAUCAUAACGCACCCACAAUUACACACACACACAAUUCAAAAACUUUCAGCAUAAGAAUAAGGCAUACUUGGACCGUUAUCGAAAUCCCAGACUCAGUAACAGUAAUGAACUUACACUGAAUCAACAUUUUGAAUUUGAACUAACACUGAAUGGACAUUUUCCAAAAAAUAUGAAAUCCAAGUAAAAUCAAGCUGUUACUUUUACAUAUGCAUGGAUCAACUCAUGCGGGAUCAAAUAUCUGUACUUUUCGACACGGAAAUUACACUUUGUGAAGGUACACCAACCAAGCACGAAUAAAACCUAUAUAUACAAAACUCUAUGGGGCAUUUCAUCGAACACAAAGUCUGCGUCUUUACUGAAAACAGAGAAGUUAAACCUGCAAUCACUCAUUAUCUACUAACAUACAAGUACGAAUUACUUAC
rnacentral:lncRNA from 1 species